rnacentral:misc_RNA from 1 species
AAUUCUCAACCCGUCUGGUCUUUUUUGACUAGUUGGGCUUGGAUGCUGGAGGCUGUUGCUGGCCUGAGUUUCUCAAGGUCAGCUCCUCUGAAAUGCAUUAGCAGAACUCUUUGCAAUCUGCUACAGGUGUGAUAAUUAUCUACAUCUAAGGUUGCUCUGUGUCUUGUUCAGCUACCAACAGUCCGAGAAGGACAACAUUCAUUACUGAAC